rnacentral:rRNA from 1 species
UUUAACGGCCGCGGUAUCCUAACCGUGCAAAGGUAGCGCAAUCAAUUGUCCCGUAAAUCGGGACUUGUAUGAAUGGCUAAACGAGGUCUUAACUGUCUCUUACAGGCAAUCGGUGAAAUUGAUCUCCCUGUGCGAAAGCAGGGAUGCACACAUAAGACGAGAAGACCCUGUGGAACUUUAAAAACAGCGACCACCCCAAAAUACAUCUACCCCCACCCCGGGCUCACUUAUCCUACGGGCUACUGGUUCGCAUUUUUUCGGUUGGGGCGACCUUGGAGCAAAACAGAACCUCCAAAAAUUAGACCAAACCUCUAGACUGAGAGCAACACCUCUACGUGCUAAUAGCACCCAGACCCAAUAUAAUUGAUCAAUGGACCAAGCUACCCCAGGGAUAACAGCGCAAUCUCCUCCGAGAGUCCAUAUCGACGAGGAGGUUUACGACCUCGAUGUUGGAUCAGGACAUCCUAGUGGUGCAGCCGCUACUAA